rnacentral:rRNA from 1 species
AAUAGAUACCCUGGUAGUCCACGCCGUAAACGAUGAGUGCUAAGUGUUAGGGGGUUUCCGCCCCUUAGUGCUGCGGCUAACGCAUUAAGCACUCCGCCUGGGGAGUACGGCCGCAAGGCUGAAACUCAAAGGAAUUGACGGGGGCCCGCACAAGCGGUGGAGCAUGUGGUUUAAUUCGAAGCAACGCGAAGAACCUUACCAGGUCUUGACAUCCUCUGACAACCCUAGAGAUAGGGCGUUCCCCUUCGGGGGACAGAGUGACAGGUGGUGCAUGGUUGUCGUCAGCUCGUGUCGUGAGAUGUUGGGUUAAGUCCCGCAACGAGCGCAACCCUUGAUCUUAGUUGCCAGCAUUUAGUUGGGCACUCUAAGGUGACUGCCGGUGACAAACCGGAGGAAGGUGGGGAUGACGUCAAAUCAUCAUGCCCCUUAUGACCUGGGCUACACACGUGCUACAAUGGAUGGUACAAAGGGCUGCCAAACCGCGAGGUUGAGCGAAUCCCAUAAAACCAUUCUCAGUUCGGAUUGCAGGCUGC